GGCCAUGUGAGGACACAGAGAAAGCACCAUCUGUGAGAAACAGGGCCUCCACUAUAUACUGAACUUGCCACCACCUUGACCUGGGACUUCCCAGUUUCCAGAACUGUGAGAAAUAAAUUUUUUAUGAUUUACCCAGUCUAAGAUAUUUUGUGACAGCAGCAGGAAUGGACUAACAUACUGGGUCUAGCAAAGAGUUCUCAAGAGAUGGGGCCUGGAUGUGUUGCUUAGGCUGUGUGAAACACCUGGUCUUAAGCGAUCCUCUCACCCUGGCCUCCCAAAGCAUUGGGAUUACAGGGAGAAAAGAAUGGGAACUGUGAGGAAAAGAAUGACAUGAACAAUGGGAAGACCAAGGUCCCAGCACAAGUAGUAGAUGCUGAGGAAAGAAGAAGUAUGUUGUGGAGUAAGUGAGUGGGCCUGAGUUGAGAAGAUCCUGGCCUUGGAUUUUAAAACUGUCAGGAAUUGCAUAAAUUCGCUAGAAUCAGAAGUCAGUUGUCCUGAUCUCAGAACAAUUUGGUGUGUACAAAGUCCAAGGUUUGAAAACUCAUCAAGAAGUCAGCAUCCUGCAAGAAUCAGCCACCCAUGCCACACUUUCUAUAGUAACUUCUGUUCUGCAUCAGACUACAUCACUCUGGCUUUCUGGGAUCACUUUUAUAAUACAAAGAAUGACUGCAAUAUAAGCUUUGAAAGACUGACUCACUAAGGAAACAAGACAGGUUUGGAAAAAUGGAUCCCUUGCCAUUGACGCACUCUGGAGAACUCUUUAAAAAAUGGUAAUCUGAGAAAUUUAAUUGCCACGUAACUGUUCACAUAAAACUGAUACUAUCAGUAAGUGGACCAAAUUAAAUAUUCUGUGAAAACGUUGCAUUUCACAACCAGGUGUUUUGAUUUUUUGAAAUGAAAGAAAAAAAAAGGAAGUCAGCUUUUAGCUAUGUGGUGCAGUUGAUCUUCUCUGGAAAGUUAUUCUGCAGAUCUACCAAAUGAAUUAAAGAUGAGAAGACAAAUGUAGGAGAUAAAAAGGCAAAGAAGAGAUGUUUAUCUGCUGUGUACCACUUUUGUGAUGGUGGAUCCCUUCAUCUUUCUGUGCCUCAUUUUUUUCUUAUUUCUACAUAGAGGGCACUAUUCCAGGCCAGUGCUCUGGGAGGAAUUACCCAGAAUCCCUGUAGAAGCCACUACUGAUGUCAGCUACAAGAGGAAGGGAACCCAAGUGGACUUCAGCCAGAACAAAGCUCUGUCACAUGUUGGAAUUUUACUGAACUUGAACAAAUUAUUCUUCAGAAAAAGUAUUUUAAAGUCAAAAGACUCCUAGAUGAUUUCUAGGUCUUUUGCAGCAUUAACUUCCUUUGAAUCAAUGCCUUCAAUGAUUAUUUAAAAGAAAAGAAAGAAAAAAUCAGAAAGUAAAGAAAUGGAUUUAGCUAGUAACCUUUAAAGAAAGCCCUCUUUCAUUCAUUUUUCUUCAAAGAUUUAUGUGAUUUUUUUCUUAUCUUGAUGUAUAAUAAUAAGAAUUAGCUGCAAAAAGCUACAAGAAAGGUUGCAUAAGUGCAUACAUUCUUUUCGAGUUCUGCUUCCUGUGGUAGUUCUUCACUUUUAAUGAUGAGUUGCUGAAGCAGGCACUCAUUCUUUUAUUGCAUCAUUUAUUCUUGUUAUCUGGGGAAGUAACAAUGACAAGCUUUCCUAAGUAACAGCCCAACUCUUAUUUGUGGCCCCUUUUCCUAUGUCAAUAUUAGGAUCAUUCUAUCAACGAAGAGGUCCUAUUACCUAGGAAACCAUGAAAGGUAAGACCUAUGAUCACAGGUGCUUACAUGCAUGCAAAUGUAAAAGGAAUACUUAAACCCUCACCUAACUUCUUUGGAAGUUUCAGUACACAGUUUUUGUUGAUAGGCAAUUAAGGUGCGUGUGUGAGUGUAGUAUGUGUUUUUGUAAGAAAAAAAGUAGAGGAAAUGGGAGAUAAUUUAGUGUGCUGGAAAGUUAUAGAAUUUGAUAUCUUGUUUUGCAUAGAUGAUGCAUUGUAGGAGUGACAUUAUUGUGAAACUUUGUUCAGUCGGUUUUCCUUCAAGCGAUUUUGGUGCAGUUUUUCCAAUCCAGUGUUAAGGGCAUGACGAUGUAUUUUUCACAAGCUUGUCUAAGAGGAAACUCUGACAGAUUAUGAUGAGGAAAACUAAAUCCACUCAUGUCAUGUAAACACAUAGAAGACUUCUCAGUGGGGUCUCUGCCUUGUACCUCAGAUGCCAAGGGGGAGUUUGAGAUUUGUCAAGUUGUUGACAACUGCCUUAGUCCAUUUUGUGCUGCCAUAACAGAAUGACACGGAUGUGGUAAUUUAUAAUGAACAGAAAUUUACUUCUUGAGGCUGGGAAAUCCAAGGUUGAGGUGCCAGCAUCUGGCAAGGGCUUUCUUAUUGUGUCAUCAUAUGGUGGAAGGCAGAAUGUCAAGAGAGAAGGAGGAAACCAAUUUUACCCUUUUAUAAAGGCACCCAUUCCACAUGUAAGGGUGAAGCCCUCAUGGCCUGCCACCUUUUAAAGACUCCACCUCUUGAUACUGUCACAAUAGCAACUGCAUUUCAGCAUGAGUUCUGGAAGGGACAGUUUCCAAACCAGAGGAGCAAUUGCCUAUCAGAGGUUGCAAGAAAGAGGUAUUUUACUAUUAUUUGAGCUACCAUUUUUAGCUUUAUCCAUACUUUUAGAAAUAGGUGUUUUAUUGAACUCCAAUUAUCCAGUUUGAGAAUGUCAUAAUUUUCUAUUAGGAGUCUGGCUGAUCUAGUCAUUAAAAAAGACACAUAAUAAAUGUAUAAGCAUGUUUUUAAAUGGACAGUUUAUAAGUUAGUUAAUAAUAUUAGUGUUAAUUACUGUUACCACUAAAUAAAUAAACCACUACAUUUUAUGUUCUUUCAACAAUCUGAAAAAAAUAUUUUGUAAAAAAUUACUGUAAUGCAAAAUUUGGCUUAGUUAGCAACAGAGAGGGUAAAUAUCUGCUUUAAAGAUCACAAUGUCUGAUGGCUAUGAAACAGAUGAGAAGUUUUGAGAAGAUGACAUCAAUAUGGUGUUGAUUGGUUUCAUGUGGCUUUGAGCUUUUCUGCCACUGGGAAGAUCACUACUGUACAUAGUUUACAUAUGAUUCAUGUGUGAUGCCAGAUUGCAGCUUCCUUCUUGCUGUAUCUUAAGUGUACUUGGUAUUCUGAUUCAAGAGUGAGAUCUUGAAGCUUUGGCAAAUAGAAUUGCCUAAUUUUCAUUUGUCCACUAAGCAAUGCAUGCAGUUAAAAAAAUGAAAACAAUACCAAACCUCCUUCUUUUGCAGUGAAGGAGCCCAAAACAAGUUACUCUCUUUCCGUCUCUCUCUUUAACUUAGAAUAUUGGUUAUUUUGUAUUCUCACACAUGUAAAAUUCCUUUCCUUUAAUGCAUAUGUUCUCAAUAAAAAAGAAUUUUCCACUGAAUUUCCAGGAAGACUCAACAUAAUUUAAAGAUGGCACCUUACAAAAAGAACUCUCAAUAGACAAGAAGAGGAGGCAGUAAUAAACAAUUAUUUUCAAGACAGAGUUACCUAAAAUCUUUCCUUGGUUUCUUACCGGCUACAGGACACUUUUCAAACUCUUUGGUUUCACUUUGACAAACUUGCUUCUUGCAAUUCUCCUAAGGUUGUGUGUAUACAACCACGUGGGAUGUGGUGAAUUUAGUCGGCCACAAUGUAAUAGUCUCUUCUCUAUACAUAAAAUUAGAUUACUAAAAUCCCUAUGUAAGAAACUUACAAUCCCGCCAGGGAAAAUUAGGAUUGGGGAAAUGAGAUAAUUAGUUAAUCUCUCAAAAAUCUGAUGAACAUAGUUUAUGUUUUCUAAAAUAGAGCCAUGAAAACAGCCCACCAAAUAAUGAGAAUGUCAAUAUCUCACACGUUCCUUCAUUUGGUAAUUAAUAGCAUGGAAUGGAUAUAUAUUAAUUUAUCAUUCUUUGAUCUCCAGUGACUUUUCAGUAUCUCUGUUCUCCUUUUUCCAUAUAUUAAAUACAGAACUUAUACAUUUGUUUUGUUUGAUGGUGUUAAUCUACAGUGCAGAAGAGUCCCUGUGUUUGUCCACUGUCUAAUUUUCAAAGCCUCUCUGAUUUUAUGAUUUUAAUUUACCUUUUAUCAGUGUGGUUUCACCGCAUUUCUGCAGACAUUCAUGUGGAUGCCUGAGCUGAAAAACUAACCUCACGUAGUCUUUAUUUCUCAACUUGCAUUCCCCAGUGCAGGGCCCAGUGGUGCCAAUUCUGAACAUAGUAAAUUUACAAGAAAGCCCUUCCUCACCUAUAACUUCAGGGAUGUUUUCACCCAUAAACCAAAACACUCAAUUGCAAGGUUUGGGGAUAAUCUUCUCCCAGCUCUCUUUCUCUCUCCUACAGUUUCAUUGCAUUGCCUCAUCUCUCUUUUAUCUUUUCCCUUAUGAGUUAUUUCAGCUUCCUUUUCUUAACUUCUAGUUUCCUAUUUCUCUAAUAAUCUAAGUCAGGGAGAAGUGUAAAUUCAUGUGCAUGGAAACUAAAAUUUCCCCGAGGAUAUAAUGUACAGAGUAAAUCCAUCUUCACUAGAAUUUUAGAACUUGAGAUCGGGCAUGUGUGAUUAUUCUACACAUUUUUAAUGGGUCUCUGUGCUUUCACAUGUGAUUUUGCCUCUUCCAAAAACAGUCUUUGUGUUCUUCACCAUCUGGGAAAUGUGUUUUCAUCCAUGUAAACCCAAAUCAAAUGCCAUUUCCUUUAUGGAAAAUUAUCCAGCUUCAUCAGGCAGAAUAAUUAGCUCCUCUGUAGGCAAAUAGCUCCUUGGUCUAUUUUUGCCAAAGCAAGAACAUCUUAUUUUCCAUACCUACUAUGUGCUUGGCAUUGUAUCAGUACACAUUUCUAUUAGUGCAUUCUAGCACUACAUAUUUUCAGGCCUAUCUUAUGUGAUUGGCUUUGAGCAUUUCCAGAGCAAGUAUAUUUUUGCUUCUUAUACCUACCUCAGGAUUUAACAUAGUGGUGUCUGGCAUAACUAGACAUGGUAAGAAUAAAUGUUUGUUGAAUGAAUGAUGUGUGAAUAUUUGAAUGAGCAUAUUAUAUGAGUUGGUAAGACUAUUCAGUUGCUGGAUGUCAAAACUAAUUAACUGAAUGUAUUUUUAUCUUUGGCUUUUUAUUAGCUUGGUUGCAAAUUCUGUGACAACAGAAUCUGUGUCUUUCAUUCUCAUCUUUACACCCCCAGUUCCAGGUACCUGGUGCCCAACAGGCAUUACUGGAUAUCUGUAGAACUUAUGAUUAAAGAAUAAAAGGAUAACAGUGUGGGAUGAAAAUAAUUCAAUCUUUGACCUUUUUUUUUGAGUAGAGACAAGCACAUUAAAUUUGAUUUUUGUUUAGCCCUAAGCAGCAUCGUAGUUCUGUAUCACUUUUAUAAGCAGCUAGACAUGGAAAAGGUAAAAGUAAGGACAGAGGAUGGAGGCAUAACCUAUUCAGAGUCAAUCAUAUGACUUUUGUCUGAAAAAUUCGUACAUAAAAAAAUGAAUGGUUUGAAACAAAAGCGAACUAUUGGAUGGAAGUAAUUUGCACAUUUAAAACCUGUCUCGCAACCAAGUGCAUCAGUUGAUUCUCUGGCAAACUAUUGCUUUGCCUUUUCUUAUCCAAUAUUUGUUUGUUUUUGAAGGAAAAAAGGUAUGUGACUGAGAGGUAAAAUAUAUGUAUUUUUUCACCAUGAAUACUUGUCUUUAUGCAUUUUGUUAAAAUUGUAGUAAUUGAUAAUAUGUAAGCCUGUUUCGUAAUGGUGAUUUUUUUGGUAUGAUAUCUACAGAUACAAAUAGUGCAUGUGUUAAGGAAACUCAUGCACAAACAAAACAGCACAUGCUGUACUCACAGCCAGUUACACAGAAUGCUCAUGCAUGCAUCUGUUGCUUAUUAAUUUUCUUCCUGCUGUUUGUAUCAUUCUUUUGAAGAAUCUCCAGCAAGCUUUGUGCUUUGCCCAAUUGUUUAUAAUGUCUAUAAAUCAGGGGCUUGGACCAAAUGAAAUGUCUUAGUAGUGUUUGCAAAAUAUUUGGAUAUUCUGAUUGCGUUUUAUUUUCCCAGCUUUAGAAAACAUAUAGAUUAGCCUCUGUUGGGAACUUAUAUUCUCGUUACUCCUUGUCUCUUUUCUUUUUUCAGGAAUUGGUCACUCUUUCAGCCAACUCGUAGGUUCAAACAAUGUUUACAUGUAGUGCUCAGUUUGUUUUAACUUCCUGCUGUAGACAUUGACAGUUUUUUCUUCCUAAGAGUCUUAUGAAUAGGCAACAAAACAAAAACAAAAACAGGCAAAGUCCCAAUCUAUUAACUACGUACUUACAAAUCAGGUGAAAGUGCUUGGUGAACAGUCUAUGUUUUAGCAACUGUUUUUUAACGUUUGGUUGUGACAUUUUUUAACAACAGCCAUUGUUCAAUUGUUAAACUAUGUUUGGAUUUGAGGUCUGAAUGAGCUGAAUUCAAAAUAUGGGACUUUUUAUUAGAAACCCUGGUAAAGUGGACACUGGGGAAAAAGCCCAAGAUUUCAUGUGUUUGAUUUAUUGACUAUGUGCGUCAACAGCCUGCUUUUAAUUCUCAGAGUAAAAUAAAAAUACUCAGAAUCUAAG
rnacentral:lncRNA from 10 species